AUUGAACGCUGGCGGCAUGCUUUACACAUGCAAGUCGAACGGUAACAGGGAGCUUGCUCCGCUGACGAGUGGCGAACGGGUGAGUAAUGCAUCGGAACGUACCCAGUCGUGGGGAUAACGUAGCGAAAGUUACGCUAAUACCGCAUACGUCCUGAGGGAGAAAGCGGGGGACCGUAAGGCCUCGCGCGAUUGGAGCGGCCGAUGUCGGAUUAGCUAGUUGGUAGGGUAAAGGCCUACCAAGGCGACGAUCCGUAGCGGGUCUGAGAGGAUGAUCCGCCACACUGGGACUGAGACACGGCCCAGACUCCUACGGGAGGCAGCAGUGGGGAAUUUUGGACAAUGGGCGAAAGCCUGAUCCAGCCAUGCCGCGUGAGUGAAGAAGGCCU
rnacentral:rRNA from 1 species